rnacentral:rRNA from 1 species
UUCCGGUUGAUCCUGCCGGAGGUCACUGCUAUUGGGGUUCGAUUAAGCCAUGCGAGUCGACUGCCUUCUUCGGAAGGCAGGGCAGACGGCUCAGUAACACGUGGGCAAUCUACCCUCGGGUCUGGGAUAACCCCGGAAAACUGGGGAUAAUACCGGAUAGAUGGAGAGGUCUGGAAGGAUUCUCCGUCCAAAGCUCCGGCGCCCGAGGAUGAGCUUGCGGUCGAUUAGGCAGUUGGCGGUGUUAGGGACCACCAAACCUGAGAUCGAUACGGGCAGUGAGAGCUGGAGCCCGGAGAUGGGGACUGAGACACGGCCCCAGGCCCUACGGGGCGCAGCAGGCGCGAAAACUCCGCAAUGUUCGAAAGAACGACGGGGGAACCCCAAGUGCCUCAUCUUUUUUGAUGGGGCUUUUGCGUAGUGUAAAUAACUACACGAAUAAGGGCUGGGUAAGACCGGUGCCAGCCGCCGCGGUAACACCGGCGGCUCGAGUGGUGACCACUUUUAUUGGGCCUAAAGCGUUCGUAGCCGGUUCGGUAAGUCUUUGGGUAAAUCUUGCUGCUCAACAGUAAGAAUUCCGAAGAUACUGCCGGGCUAGGGACCGAGAGAGGUCGGAGGUACUCCUGGGGUAGAGGUGAAAUUCUGUAACCCUGGGGGGACCACCAGUGGCGAAGGCGUCCGACUAGAGCGGGUCCGACGGUGAGGGGCGAAAGCCAGGGGAGCGAACCGGAUUAGAUACCCGGGUAGUCCUGGCCGUAAACGCUGUGGGCUAGGUGUUGCAUGCUCUACGGGGGCAUGCAGUGCCGAAGAGAAGUUGAUAAGCCUACCGCCUGGAAGUACUACUGCAAGGUAGAAACUUAAAGGAAUGGCGGGGGGAGCACACAAGGGGUGGAGUCUGCGGUUCAUGAUCACGCGGU